GAACGCUGGCGGCGUGCCUAAUACAUGCAAGUCGAGCGAACAGACGAGGAGCUUGCUCCUCUGACGUUAGCGGCGGACGGGCGAGUAACACGUGGAUAACCUACCUAUAAGACUGGGAUAACUUCGGGAAACCGGAGCUAAUACCGGAUAAUAUAUUGAACCGCAUGGUUCAAUAGUGAAAGACGGUUUUGCUGUCACUUAUAGAUGGAUCCGCGCCGCAUUAGCUAGUUGGUAGGGUAACGGCUUCCCAAGGCGACGAUGCGUAGCCGACCUGAGAGGGUGAUCGGCCUCACUGGAACUGAGACACGGUCCAGACUCCUACGGGAGGCAGCAGUAGGGAAUCUUCCGCAAUGGGCGAAAGCCUGACGGAGCAACGCCGCGUGAGUGAUGAAGGUCUUCGGAUCGUAAAACUCUGUUAUUAGGGAAGAACAAAUGUGUAAGUAACUAUGCACGUCUUGACGGUACCUAAUCAGAAAGCCACGGCUAACUACGUGCCAGCAGCCGCGGUAAUACGUAGGUGGCAAGCGUUAUCCGGAAUUAUUGGGCGUAAAGCGCGCGUAGGCGGUUUUUUAAGUCUGAUGUGAAAGCCCACGGCUCAACCGUGGAGGGUCAUUGGAAACUGGAAAACUUGAGUGCAGAAGAGGAAAGUGGAAUUCCAUGUGUAGCGGUGAAAUGCGCAGAGAUAUGGAGGAACACCAGUGGCGAAGGCGACUUUCUGGUCUGUAACUGACGCUGAUGUGCGAAAGCGUGGGGAUCAAACAGGAUUAGAUACCCUGGUAGUCCACGCCGUAAACGAUGAGUGCUAAGUGUUAGGGGGUUUCCGCCCCUUAGUGCUGCAGCUAACGCAUUAAGCACUCCGCCUGGGGAGUACGA
rnacentral:rRNA from 1 species